AUGCUUUAAGUGAAGGGAAAUAUCCGUGUCGGGGUAAACUACGGCUUCCGGAUUCCUGGAUAGAGCAUCUCAUAGGAAAGUACCGUUAGAAAGAUCAACUCGUAAUUGAUUGAGUAUAAAUAACCUCUAGAGGGAGGUCGCGUGGAAACUAUGAUGAAACUCCUAGAAGUGGGCGUGCCUGGCAGAAGGAGUAGGUCGAAAACUGGUUGCUGAAGCAGCGUAAGCUCCCUGAUGUAAACUCCCUGAAAUUAUUAUAGUAAUACAUCAAAGCAAUAUGAGAGUUGGCCAGUAUAAAUAAAUUCCCUGUUAACAGGAAGAGGGUUUGCAAAUCCAAUGUCGGGAGACACGGACCUCAUGGGAAGAAGAAACAACUCUAGUGUUAGAGAGAUACUGUUAAUGAGCUCUAACAUGUUCAAAUAUCUUAUUUAAG
rnacentral:ncRNA from 1 species